UAGAUACUUUUGCAUGUAAUGGA
rnacentral:siRNA from 1 species